AUAUACAUAUAUAUGUAUAUAUGUAUACACACACACAUUAUAUGUACAUGUGUACAUAUACAUGUAUAUAUAUAUGAAAAAGUGGUAUA
rnacentral:miRNA from 1 species